AUGGGGCCGGCAGCAGAGCAAUGAGAAAUACUAGAAAAGCUGAAGGCUAGAGCCAGUAGGAACUGAACAAGUUAACACUAUAUACAUAUAUAUAUAUAUGUUCGUCAAAAUUUUACCAUUAUCGGCACCCCAACAACAGCAAAAACAAAUGUAAAUUGAACAGGAAUGACAGCAGCGACGGCGGCAGCACAAAAUGUCAAUAACUUUGCUGUCGCAAGACAUUCCUCGCCGUUAGUCUUCCGGUUGGCUUUGAAAAUCACGGGAAAUUCACGACAGCGAAGUGGGCGAUGGAAUGAAUAAUAUGUAUGUACGAUGUGUACAACCGACGGUGCAUACGUAUAUCGAUACAUAUAAACGCAAACGUACGCGUGCACAAAUGCAACAAAUAAUCAAAGAAAACGAAAAUAAAUCUAUAAACGCGCGCGCUCAACGCAAUGUCAGACAAACAGCGGGGUCUUGAUAUCGGCGGGUGGCAUAGGAUAGGCCAGAAGAUCAACAGUGGCAACCGCGUAGGUGACAAGAGCGAGUGUCACAUAAAUUCUUUGAGAAAACUAUAUUUACUAGAACAAAUAAUCUGUGCUGUGCGUGCCGAACGUUGGGAUGUAGUAGACGUUGAGAGAGCGCGAGCGUAGAGCCAAUGCUUUUGCAGUAUACGUAUGGUUGGUAAUUCAGCCGAUUUCGUAGGCAAGAAAAUCCAAAAACCAAAACCCGCAUCAUCCUACAUGGCUAAAAAUACGCGCAAAAAAGCAAAAAAAUAGCAUAAUAAAGAAAUAAAUAUAAAUAAAAAUAAGUUAGAAAUCAAAAAGUAAUUGAAAACGGUGGUAGUGCUGGUAGUAGAGACGAAGGGAAAUGGCAGUGGUUUUGGAGCGCGGAGGUGGUGAAGAACCAAAGCAAUAUCGGGAAAACAAAACCAAUUUUUACAACAAUAGAUUACUUACAAACCUGAGGAAUAAGUCUUGGAAAAACCGCUAAUAAAAUUUCGGAAAUAUGAAUUUUUUAAGAAAUUAAAUAAAAAAAUAAUAAUAAAAUGAAUGGUACAUAUUGUGAAUAGGCCAUAUAACCGUCUCGUCCUUUGCAAACCCCAUAAUGAUAGGCCAAUUCCUUCUUUAGCCAUUUUAACAACCUAACAUGCAUGAAAAUAUGCACACGUGCAUGGAAUUCGCAAGAGACAAAAAACCAAGAAGGAAAUAGAUAACAUGCCAGCAAAUAACAGUCAAGAUGAUCCAAGUAACAGGCACAGUUACAAAACAAAAGAGGCAAGAGGCAAACACUUGCCGUAUGAAUAUACAACAGUCCCAGCACCACUUGUGCAUUACCUACAGCCUACCAACCAACAACAUACACGACACAAUCAUUGAAGAGCACACACUGAAGUAACACAGCAUAGGUUGGAAGAAGUGCAUACGGAACAAAGCAAUACGGGCAUUUCAUGCGUAAAAAAAUGGAAUGAUGACGACAAAAGUGUUAGUGGGUUGCUGCCGAGUCGUGGUGUUGCGCUUCUUUAGGUGCCUCCGGAACCGUACGACGGAAAUAUGAAGACCACAAAAGGAAAACUAACAACUAUAACUACUUCUAGUAGUUAAAAUUUAACAAUAGGCUACACAACCACUAGAAUAGCUAUAGCUAAAGCACAUAAACGAGUGUGACACAAAGCCAACAUUGCGCGUCAAAGUGUGUUCAAGUGAGUGAACGGAAACAUAUGCAUAAAUACUUAAAAAGACUGUAACACAUAAAUGACUGGAUAUGUAAUGGUUUAGAAUGACCAAUUAGCUAUGUGACUGACUAAGCGUCAAAAAUUUUAAACUGUGCGUUAGGCACUAUGUCUUUCAGCCAAUAACUUAUCAAAGCCUGAGUUAGUACGGUCGGCAGAGGUUUUGUCGGUUUAUGCAAACCUGAUAUUAAAUUAAAAUUAAAUAUUAUCGCUUAUAUGUGCCUGUAUAUUUAUAAUAUAUUUAUAUGCGUAAUAAUGUUUGAUUCAAUUUGGUGAGAAGGGCUUAUUAACCAUCUUAUUUAGUAAUUAAUACUAGCCAUUUAGCCACAUAUUGUGAAAAAUAA